rnacentral:misc_RNA from 1 species
UUAUUUCUUUGCAGUUUACACGCUUCCAUGAUGCACAACAUUAAUAAUAUCCCAAAAAUAAAAAUUUGCUAAAUUAAAAUUUUGGGGUGUUACACUUUUAAUGCAUAUGCUUCUCAUAAACCAACUCUGCUUCUUUUAUUGACUCAACUUCAGCUCUGCAGGUCUUCUGUCAAUUAGUCUAUUCCACCAAAAAGAAUCCUAGUUAUUAGUCAUCAAAGUCAACUAAAAUUUAGACUCUCUUCUUGCAAAAAACUGCAGGCUCAAUUCUUUUAAUUGUCAAUGUAUUACUACGGUGCUUUAUUUGAGAAAUUAUUGAUAAAAUCACAGUAAUGCUCUGUUCCACUUUUCAGUUACAAGGGAACUUUGUUAUUCAGAGCUCCUGCAUUGUUCAAUUAAAAGAUUAACCAAUCUCAACAGGCUAACACUAAUUGACUAAUGAAUUGCAAAGAGAAGUGAUAUUAAUGCAAAAAUCAAUUUUAGUUUCAACUUUCAAGAUCAGCGUAAAUGUAAACACUUUUGACUACUAUUGCUCGUUGUUAUUAAUUUUCAUACAAAUUCAUUGAAACCAUUUCACAUGCAGUAAUUGUCUGAAGUGAGUUGCAGUCAGGAUAAUAAUAAUAAUUCAUAGAAAAUAUACAUACACGUAUUUCAUGAUCCAUGCAAGAAAU